rnacentral:rRNA from 1 species
GCGACCCCAGGUCAGGCGGGAUUACCCGUGAGUUUAA